rnacentral:misc_RNA from 1 species
AGUCGUAACAAGGUUUCCGUAGGUGAACCUGCGGAAGGAUCAUUAAAAUCCAAAACUCUUCUUGGGUGGGGUCAAACCUGCUCAUCAAGUUUCCACCUUUGUGAACCAAAAAUCAUACAGCUUCGGCAGCUGGCCGGUCGGGUAACUCCAAUCGGCCGUCAGCCUGCCGGCAGCGCCAACCAAACUUGUUUGUUAAACCAGUCUGACCUGAAUCAUUUUCGAGUGAGAAUUAAA